rnacentral:rRNA from 1 species
CAUGCCCUAAACGAUGAUCUCUCGCUAUUCGGAGUAUCGACCCUCUGAGUGGCUUAGCUAACGCGUUAAGAGAUCCGCCUGGGAAGUACGGCCGCAAGGCUAAAACUCAAAGGAAUAGACGGGGACUUGCACAAGCAGUGGAUUAUGUGGUUUAAUUCGAUGGUAAACGAAGAACCUUACCAGGGUUAGAAAUCCUAGUGAAAGCCCGAAGAAACUCGGGGCCUCGCAAGACUCUAGGACAGGUGA